AACGAACGCUGGCGGCAUGCUUAACACAUGCAAGUCGAACGCAUGGUCCUGGUUCGCUGGGGCCAUGAGUGGCGCACGGGUGAGUAGCGCGUGGGAACCUGCCCAGUCGUGGGGGAUAACCGAGGGAAACUUCGGCUAAUACCGCAUACGCCCGGGAGACCGGGGAAAGAUUUAUCGCGAUUGGAGGGGCCCGCGUCGGAUUAGCUUGUUGGUGGGGUAACGGCCUACCAAGGCGAUGAUCCGUAGCUGGUCUGAGAGGAUGAUCAGCCA
rnacentral:rRNA from 1 species